CCUACGGGAGGCAGCAGUGGGGAAUAUUGCACAAUGGGGGAAACCCUGAUGCAGCGACGCCGCGUGAAGGAAGAAGGAUUUCGGUAUGUAAACUUCUAUCAGCAGGGAAGAAAAUGACGGUACCUGACUAAGUAUCCCCGGUCAACUACGUGCCAGCAGCCGCGGUAAUACGGAGGGGGCAAGCGUUAUCCGGAAGUACUGGGCGUAAAGGGAGCGUAGGCGGGGCAGCAAGUCAGACGUGAAAGCCCGGGGCUCAACUCCGGGACUGCUUUUGAAACUGUUGAACUAGAUUGCAGGAGAGGUAAGUGGAAUGCCAAGUGUAGCGGUGAAAUGCGUAGAUAUUAGGAGGAACACCAGUGGCGAAGGCGGCUUACUGGACUGUAAAUGACGCUGAGGCUCGAAAGCGUGGGGAGCAAACAGGAUUAGAUACCCGUGUAGUC
rnacentral:rRNA from 1 species